GCGGUGCUUACCAUGCAAGUCGAACGAGGUCCAACCGAUGGGCAACAUCGGGGAAGGCCUAGUGGCGAACGUGUGAGUAACACGUGAGGAACCUACCCCGGACACUGGGAUAACAGGUGGAAACGCCUGCUAAUACCAGAUGCCAUCGGACCACCGCAUGAUGGUCCGAUGAAAGGAUUCUGGUCUGGGAGGGCCUCGCGGCCUAUCAGCUUGUUGGUGGGGUAAUGGCCUACCAAGGCGUCGACGGGUAGCUGGUCUGAGAGGAUGAUCAGCCACACUGGGACUGAGACACGGCCCAGACUCCUACGGGAGGCAGCAGUGGGGAAUAUUGCGCAAUGGGCGAAAGCCUGACGCAGCAACGCCGCGUGCGGGAAGAAGGCUCUCGGGUUGUAAACCGCUUUCAGCAGGAACGAAACUGACGGUACCUGCAGAAGAAGGUGCGGCCAACUACGUGCCAGCAGCCGCGGUGACACGUAGGCACCAAGCGUUGUCCGGAUUUAUUGGGCGUAAAGAGCUCGUAGGCGGUUCAGUAAGUCGGGUGUGAAAACUCGGGGCUUAACUCCGAGACUGCAUCCGAUACUGCUGUGACUGGAGUUCGGUAGGGGAGCGGGGAAUUCCUGGUGUAGCGGUGAAAUGCGCAGAUAUCAGGAGGAACACCGGUGGCGAAGGCGCCGCUCUGGGCCGAUACUGACGCUGAGGAGCGAAAGCGUGGGUAGCAAACAGGAUUAGAUACCCUGGUAGUCCACGCCGUAAACGUUGGGCACUAGGUGUGGGUUCCAACCA
rnacentral:rRNA from 1 species